AUUGAACGCUGGCGGCAUGCCUUACACAUGCAAGUCGAACGGCAGCACGGACUUCGGUCUGGUGGCGAGUGGCGAACGGGUGAGUAAUGUAUCGGAACGUACCUUUCAGUGGGGGAUAACGUAGCGAAAGUUACGCUAAUACCGCAUAUUCUGUGAGCAGGAAAGCAGGGGAUCGCAAGACCUUGCGCUGAUUGAGCGGCCGAUAUCAGAUUAGCUAGUUGGUGAGGUAAAGGCUCACCAAGGCGACGAUCUGUAGCGGGUCUGAGAGGAUGAUCCGCCACACUGGAACUGAGACACGGUCCAGACUCCUACGGGAGGCAGCAGUGGGGAAUUUUGGACAAUGGGGGCAACCCUGAUUCAGCCAUGCCGCGUGAGUGAAGAAGGCCU
rnacentral:rRNA from 1 species